rnacentral:lncRNA from 1 species
AUUAAGUCUUGCAGAAAGCUUGGGAGGAGCUGCUGACAAUGGAAUUGAGGAAGAAAAGUCUCGUUGAAUUCAUUAGAAAAUGGUACAUCUCUUAGCUCCAUUUGUUUUCAAAUAUCUUCUGCCAUUUCUGUUGUUGCAGGUUUUCGACGCAGAAUGAGAAUGAUUAAAGGUCAAGGGUUCUAAAAUCCAAAAACAUUAUGACACAAAGUUCUACUAAUAGUUCCAUCUUAUGAUGCAGCAUGAUGUCCUUUCAUAGUUUUAGGUACUGGUAAAGCUGUGGAUGUAGAGACUAUCAAUUUCUCACAUCAAGCUUCCUUCUUGAUACAGUCUCAUAUACUGCAGAGUGUUAAUACAGGAACUUCUACAAGCAGGAUUUAUUGCUGUUGAAGAUCUUACACAUCUUCUUGUCCCUCUAUGACAUGACGCUGGGACUAAGAUCCUGAUCCACUGAACUUUAGCAAGACUCUCAAAUUCACAAGGGUUUUCAUUUCAGUUGCCUUGUCUUAGUAAACCUGAGAUCGAUCUCAGGCUGAGGAAAGAAGCUUAUGUUAGACUGAAUCAAACAAGUUGCAGAGGUGGUUGGUCUUGGUUGGAGGAAUUCUGAUUCGGUUCAAGAAGGUUAACCGCAAUAUAAUUCCGGUUAUACUGCCCCGACUGGUGAGAAGAAGUAACACCCGACUCGUAAACUGUCCCUUGAUGUAUCACACUCGAUUCUUGUUGCUGUAGACCUGUUCUUUCAGUAAUCUGCAGAGAUAUUUAGAAUUUGCACAUCAAGAGAUUGUCUACCGGAAAAAAAUGAUGAUCAAAAAUGCCAAAAAGAGUUAUGUAUAAAACCUUGGAGCGGAGAUACAUGUUAUCGUUUUGCAGCUCGAUUUCCUACAAUGCAAGCGACAACAGAAAAUAAAAAAAGAUGAUCAUCAGAAAGAGAAGUUGCUAAUAAAGUAGGGGGUAAGUUACUUGUGAAGGAAGAUAGGUUUUACUUUUACCCUUUUUUGCAUGUAUUCAAUCUCUGCAACUAACAUCUCGUGCUGGAGAGAAAAACCAAAUAUAACGGGCAAGAAUCAGAUGGAUAUAUAUUCAAUGAUAAGGAGAUUGAUGGAGAGUUAGUGAUUGUACCUUCUUGGAUCGGACACGACUGAUUCCUUUCUCAAGCCUACUUUCAAGGUUCUUGAGUUCCUUAAAGUUCAAGGAACCAAGAGAUUCACCAAGAAUGUGUCUGUUCAAAUUCUGAAUGUCCCGAAUCUGUCUCCGGAGUUUAGACGCCUCUUGCUGAUAGUACUUCAUCAAUUUCGAUCCCAUCAUUGUUACAAGAGGUGAAAAAAAGGUCAGAUAACUAAAAGAAGAAGAAAUUAAGUAAUUAACGAACUAGCUAGCUAGGUGUAUUAAUUAAAAGCUAACCUGAGUAUUAGCUUCGGUGAUGGUCGGAGGGUUAACGGCGUCGGAGCAAGCUUUCUUGUACCUUUCUAUUGUUCCUCUCACACUUCAUCAACAUUCACACAAAGGAAAAGAUUUUAAAAUGCAAUCUUUUUUGUGGUAGCUAUAUAUGUAAAUAGAUGCAAUCGGUGAAAAUCUCAAACUUAAACCACCACAAGUAAAACAAAGACACACGAAACUAUAACUGUUGGAUUCAAACACUAAAACCAGAAGAGAAAAAAAUAUAUAUAUAUGAAGUCGUUAAAGAAAUUGAUAUUUUUAUCUUCUGGAUAUACAAAACACACAGAAAGACGGAUAUUAAG